rnacentral:tRNA from 1 species
GCCUGCCUGGCUCAGUUGGUAGAGCAUGGUGUUUGCAAUGCCAGGGUUGUGGGUUUGAUUCCCACGGGGGACC